rnacentral:tRNA from 1 species
GCAGGUGUGGCGGAAUGGUAUACGCGCAGCGUUUAGGCCGCUGUUCCCGCAAGGGAUUGGAGGUUCGAAUCCUCUCACCUGCA